rnacentral:lncRNA from 1 species
AAGAGAUUCCUUGCUGGCUCUCAGGACAACACCGACAGAGGUCACUUGUUAUUGAAGCUUAUUCACUUCCCCACUGCCAUGGUGAUGCAGGGAGAUGCCGUGGCUACCCACAGGGCAGGCUGGCUGCUUGCCAAAGGGUUUGGAUGGCCACAGCUUUGACAGAAACACUAAGCACAGACUGACGGUGCCGUUGGUGCAGACAGUGAUUCAGGAGUCACAGAUUUUCAGGCAAUACCUUCCAGACUGAAUAAGGAUGAAAUCCAUUGUGCUGGUAUCAGAUAAUCACAUCCAAUAUUCAAGGCAAGAGCUAUGCUAUGGAAUCCAAUUCGACAUAGUGAGCAAGAGAAGGGAAAAGUGGUUUAUUGCUUCUGUUUCCAGAGCAGGACCUCCUCAACACUUGGCAGCUAAAUUGGGCAGAGCUGAGAACACAUUCACUGACUCCCAGGCUGCUACCUUACCAAGACCAUGCUCAACUAUGGGAAGUGUAUUUAGUACCCAAACAAGGCCAGAGACUGCCCCAGUCCUACAAUCCCCUUCAGAGGUAUUAUCUGGGUAGGUAUUUCAGAAGAGACUAAUGUAUAUUUUCUUGAAGUGAACAUCAGUAGAGCAAGAAUAGUGCAGUUUCAUUAUGGGAAUAUUCCAGCAGUUAGAUAGAUGUUGUAUGUGCCUACACCUCUGCAACACACUGUAGGGCUAUAAAUGUGGAGGAUCUGGCAAUGCAAUCAAAUACAGGCUCUCAACACAUUUCUUUAUGUAGUGUGGUAUUUUUUCUUACUGCUAGUUUUGCUUAAUUCAUCAGUCUAGUACCAUAAACUUUACACAGUGUGACUGCUUACUCUGUAGUCCCUACCCUACCUUCCCUACCUCUGCUUUGACAUUAAAUUUCAAGGUGUCAUCUGAGACCAAGUAUGAAACAACAAAUGAUAGCACUUUGUAGACCAAAUAUGCAAGCAGGCUUUAGAGAAAAAGUACAAUAUAAGUUUUAUAAAUAUAAAGCCAGUUUUACAUUGGGAAAAAAUAAUGCUUAUUCCAGCUUCAAUUAAUUUCCUUCAUUGCAUAAAUUGCUAAAGCUUUGCUUCCACUACGUGGCUUUUUUCCCCACAGAACGACUGCUUUCUGUGCCAUGCAUCUUAUCAUUUUCUGCAGUCUUUAUGCCUUUUCUGGAUCUUAUCACGCCCAUAGCAUUUUACAUGAAUUUCUGCUUGUCCCAGCUGACUUAUUUGUUAAUAGAUGCUCCAUCUUUGGCAUAUUUAUUUCUGUUUCCCCAGUGUCAGAAGAAAAUUAUACAACAUAGCAGUGAAAUCACAGUUACACUAAUGAACAGCUCCAUAUCAUGGAUUUUUCUUAUUUAACAACAGAAAAAUCAGAGGCAAUAUGCUAUUCAGUUACCUUUCCAAUCAUGUUUUUCAAAAUAAUUCUUAUUCUUUUACUAAACGUUCUGCCAGUUUGUACCUUACACAUCACUUUGUCAGCUU